rnacentral:rRNA from 1 species
CGGGUCAAACUCGACUGGGCGUUGUACUGUCCUCGCUCGACCGAGUCCCCUCUACCGUGCUCGGACCUUGUCCGCCUCUGGAGUGGUGGACGGCACCUCCUCGAAAUCUGACCUCAAAUCAGGUAGGACUACCCGCUGAACUUAAGCAUAUCAAUAAGCGGAGGAAAAGAAACUAACAAGGAUUCCCCUAGUAACUGCGAGUGAAGCGGGAAAAGCUCAAAUUUGAAAUCUGGCGGUUCUGCCGUCCGAGUUGUAUUCUGGAGAAGCGCCUUCCGCACCGGACCGUGUACAAGUGCCUUGGAACAGGACGUCAUAGAGGGUGAGAAUCCCGUCUUUGACACGGACCCCCGGCGCUCUGCGAUGCGCUCUCGAAGAGUCGAGUUGUUUGGGAAUGCAGCUCAAAACGGGUGGUAAAUUCCAUCUAAAGCUAAAUAUUGGCGAGAGACCGAUAGCGAACAAGUACCGUGAGGGAAAGAUGAAAAGCACUUUGGAAAGAGAGUAAAACAGUACGUGAAAUUGUUGAAAGGGAAACGCUUGAAGUCAGUCGCGUCUGCCGGAACUCAGCCUUGCUUCUGCUCGGCGCACUUUCCGGUCCGACGGGCCAGCAUCGGUUUUGCGAGGCGGACACUGGCGGGGGGAAGGUGGCGGCUCUGGCCGCGUUACAGCCCCCCGUCGCGAACGUCUGGCGGGACCGAGGAAUCCGGCGCGAGCCUGGGAUGCUGGCGUAAUGGCUUUAAACGACCCGUCUUGAAACACGGACCAAGGAGUGCUACACGCCCGCGAGUGUUUGGGUGGAAAACCCGGACGCGCAAUGAAAGUGAAAGUCGAUACCCCUUUGUCGGGGGCACCGACGCCCGAGCCCGAUGUUUUCGGACGGCCUUGCGGUAGAGCGAGCGUGUUGCGACCCGAAAGAUGGUGAACUAUUCCUGAGGAGGGCGAAGCCAGAGGAAACUCUGGUGGAGGCUCGUAGCGGUUCUGACGUGCAAAUCGAUCGCAGGACUUGGGUAUA